AACGAACGCUGGCGGCAGGCUUAACACAUGCAAGUCGAACGGGCACCUUCGGGUGUCAGUGGCAGACGGGUGAGUAACGCGUGGGAACGUGCCCUUCGGUUCGGAAUAACCCAGGGAAACUUGGGCUAACACCGGAUACGUCCGCAAGGAGAAAGAUUUAUCGCCGAAGGAUCGGCCCGCGUCGGAUUAGCUAGUUGGUGGGGUAAUGGCCCACCAAGGCGACGAUCCGUAGCUGGUCUGAGNGGAUGAUCAGCCACACUGGACUGAGACACGGCCCAGACUCCUACGGGAGGCAGCAGU
rnacentral:rRNA from 1 species